GACGAACGCUGGCGGCAUGCCUAACACAUGCAAGUCGAACGGGGAUAGCAAUAUCCUAGUGGCGAACGGGUGAGUAACGCGUGAGCAACCUGCCUUGUACAACGGGAUACCCGAGGGAAACUUCGGUUAAUACGGUAUAAGACCACACUACCGCAUGGUAGAGGGGUAAAAGGAGAAAUCCGGUAUAAGAUGGGCUCGCGUCGCAUUAGCUAGUUGGUGGGGUAACGGCUCACCAAGGCGACGAUGCGUAGCCGACCUGAGAGGGUGAUCGGCCACAUUGGGACUGAGAUACGGCCCAG
rnacentral:rRNA from 1 species